GCCUCGGUGGUGUAGUGGUCAAGACGCUCGCCUGGUAAACAGGAGGGCGGGGGUUCAAUCCCAGCCGAGGUA
rfam:Asian citrus Psyllid, Diaphorina citri - Florida Strain, whole genome shotgun sequence.